UAUCCUGUUCAAAAAUAUAUCACAUUUGAAGAUGCCUUAAAGGUGCUGGGGGAGCCAAUCAGGAGUGAGAAGGUGAUGUCCAUGGAGAUGCUCCCCAUCAACAAUGACAACGGGCAGUCAUACGGCUACAUCCUGUACAGGCACAAACUUAUCCAUACACCGGCCACAGAGUCUCUCACUCUCAAGUGUGAUGUCAGGGACAGAGCUCAGAUAUUUGUGAAUGGUAAGGAGUCAGGCAUGCUGAACUGGAGAGUUGGAGAGAUC